AUUGAACGCUGGCGGCAGGCCUAACACAUGCAAGUCGAGCGGAUGAAGGGAGCUUGCUCCUGGAUUCAGCGGCGGACGGGUGAGUAAUGCCUAGGAAUCUGCCUGGUAGUGGGGGAUAACGUCCGGAAACGGGCGCUAAUACCGCAUACGUCCUGAGGGAGAAAGUGGGGGAUCUUCGGACCUCACGCUAUCAGAUGAGCCUAGGUCGGAUUAGCUAGUUAGUGGGGUAAAGGCCUACCAAGGCGACGAUCCGUAACUGGUCUGAGAGGAUGAUCAGUCACACUGGAACUGAGACACGGUCCAGACUCCUACGGGAGGCAGCAGUGGGGAAUAUUGGACAAUGGGCGAAAGCCUGAUCCAGCCAUGCCGCGUGUGUGAAGAAGGCCUUCGGAUUGUAAAGCACUUUAAGUAGGGAAGAAGGGCAGUAAGUGAAUACCUUGCUGUUUUGACGUUACCAACAGAAUAAGCACCGGCUAACUUCGUG
rnacentral:rRNA from 1 species